rnacentral:rRNA from 1 species
UACGAACUGUGCAAACGUUAUUCGGAAUCACUGGGCUUAAAGGGUGCGUAGGCGGCUUGCUAAGUAGGGUGUGAAAGCCCCCGGCUCAACCGGGGAAUGGCGCCCUAAACUGGCGAGCUAGAGUGAGAUAGGGGUGUGCGGAACUUCCAGUGGAGCGGUGAAAUGUGUUGAUAUUGGAAGGAACGCCUGUGGCGAAAGCGGCACACUGGGUCUCAACUGACGCUGAGGCACGAAAGCCAGGGGAGCAAACGGG